rnacentral:miRNA from 1 species
UUUUCAGUAUAAGUCUAUCUUGUGCAAUAUUUGGAACAUACUUAUACUAAAA